rnacentral:rRNA from 2 species
UCGUGUUGUGAAAUGUUGGGUUAAGUCCCGCAACGAGCGCAACCCUUAUCCUUUGUUGCCAGCGGUCCGGCCGGGAACUCAAAGGAGACUGCCAGUGAUAAACUGGAGGAAGGUGGGGAUGACGUCAAGUCAUCAUGGCCCUUACGACCAGGGCUACACACGUGCUACAAUGGCGCAUACAAAGAGAAGCGACCUCGCGAGAGCAAGCGGACCUCAUAAAGUGCGUCGUAGUCCGGAUUGGAGUCUGCAACUCGACUCCAUGAAGUCGGAAUCGCUAGUAAUCGUGGAUCAGAAUGCCACGGUGAAUACGUUCCCGGGCCUUGUACACACCGCCCGUCACACCAUGGGAGUGGGUUGCAAAAGAAGUAGGUAGCUUAACCUUCGGGAGGGCGCUUACCACUUUGUGAUUCAUGACUGGGGUGAAGUCGUAACAAGGUAACCGUAGGGGAACCUGC